CCUACGGGAGGCAGCAGUGGGGAAUAUUGCACAAUGGGGGAAACCCUGAUGCAGCAACGCCGCGUGGGUGAAGGAGCGUUUCGGCGCGUAAAGCCCUGUCAGCGGGGAAGAAGAAAGACGGUACCCGACCAAGAAGCCCCGGCUAACUAGGGGCCAGCAGCCGCGGUAAUAUGUAGGGGGCGAGCGUUAUCCGGAAUUACUGGGUGUAAAGGGGGCGCAGACGGCGAUGCAAGCCAGGAGUGAAAGCCCGGGGCCCAACCCCGGGACUGCUCUUGGAACUGCGUGGCGGGAGUGCAGGAGGGGCAGGCGGAAUUCCUGGGGUAGCGGUGAAAUGCGUAGAUAGCAGGAGGAACACCGGUGGCGAAGGCGGCCUGCUGGACUGCAACUGACGUUGAGGCCCGAAAGCGUGGGGAGCAAACAGGAUUAGAUACCCCUGUAGUC
rnacentral:rRNA from 1 species